rnacentral:lncRNA from 1 species
UGGGUUUAUCAGAUCUUUGGAUUCCGUAUCUACUUGUGCGUGUGGGUUUGAGGCUUGUGUCAUAGGGUUCCGCGUCAACCUCCAUCAAUAAUGAGAGUACACACUUUUCCAUUAACCAAACACCUAGUGUGAAAUAUGUUUUCCCAUUGUUCUAGGCUUUUUCCUUAACCUGCAUAUUCAGAGCACGCCUAGCAACAAGCAUCUCACAAUGUGCAGCAAGCAACGCAUUAUUAACCAACACAUCCGAAUCAUCACAGUCAUUAUUGCAAUUAGGAGUUUUUUGAGGUAUUCUUAUAGAAGUGGAAGCUUGUGAGACAUUCAAACUCUCCAUAGUUUCAGUCAACCUCUCAAGAGUCUUAUUGAGCCUUUGUAACUCACCACUGACUGACUUCUUAAAGAGCUUAUAAUCGUUACCCAUAUUCGAUUCACUUCCAACAGUACGAUCCACCACAUUCUUGUCUUUACUCAUCCUACCUUAAAUCAACAUAGAACAAAAAGAACUAGCAAAUAUUGUGUUAAAAAAAGUACUCAAGUGUUUGCACUCUUACCAUUCUUUUGUUGAUUCUUCAAUUGCACUUCAGAAACUAAUGUCAACCAACUAACCACAAGAUGCGUUUAAUGAAACAAAGAAGAAAACCUAAAGAAAGAAGGAAGCACGCAAAACUAGAAAGAAGACACUGACAAUUUGGGAAGUAACACACGAAUUAGGCUUUGUGCUACUUGAAAAAUAUCACCUAGAGUAUAGACCCAAGUAAACAAUACUCCAGCAAUAUCAAGGAAGCAAAAGCAAGCUUAAACCAAAAAAAGAAACUUAGAAAUCAAAUAAAAACGAACCUGGAAAAAAAAUUUGCAUUUAAUUCACUUCAACGCAAAUUAAAUAUGGAUCUACUUAAAUCUACCCAAAAAGGAAAGUAUCAAAACCCCACAAAUAGAAUCAGAAAGAAAAAUCUAAAUGUCACUCAGAUCAGAAACAUGGACGAAAAUUCUGGUUUUAAAAGAAGGAUUUGACAUCAAAUCGAUUUAGAUGCAGUUGCCUUAAAUAUGCACCUUAAGGAAUAGGCAGAUUUCUUUUGUCUCCUAAUCUGGAUUCAACCCAAUUCAAAAUUCAAACUUGAUUCCCAUAAACUACAGCAAUCAAUUGAGAUAGGUAAGGAAAUAUAGAUGAAAAAUGAAGCAUAUCACAAUUUCGGCCAGAUCAAGAUAAAUAUGGCAAAGGCGAUUUUUUUUUCAUUUUUCUCUUUUUUUUUUUUUGGAUUUCGAAUUUUUCUUUCAAAAGAGAUUAUGUGAUAAUUUAUCAAGAAGGUGCAGCCAUGAAUACAAAAGCUUUCAAUGAAGAAAAGAAAACUCAAAAAAAUAACUCUAGAUCCUGAGAUAAAUAAGAAUUUACCUCACUUUGGCUCUGAUACCAACUGACGCGGAACCCUAUGGCACAAGCCUCAAACCCACACGCACAAGUAGAUACGGAAUCCAAAGAUUUGAUAAACCCACCUCCUAUGGCACCCCAAACUUAGAGAAGCUGAAACAUCAAUGAUCGAAGGAUUUAGAUGAGAAUCCGACAAACGCCACAACGAAUAGUUGAUAAGUUGGCCAAGAUUCCUGGUGCAAUUGAUGAAAGCAAAUCCUUACUCUCACUCAAAGCAAUACACGCCAAAGGCAUGAAAGAAAUUCUGAAAAGUUUGAUUAAAAGCUCCUCUUACAAUUGUUUCUUAUCCUUAUAUAGUAAGGAGAAAAACAAAUAAAACCCUAAACACUCUUCUUGGGUCUGACUUAAACACCUAGGCCCAAGCCCAAUCACACACUAAAAUAACGCAUAAGUAUUAAAACAUAAGCCCAAAACAUGGUCCAACACUCUAAAAAACUUAAAAGAUAAAAUAUGGCCAGAAUACAAGCCCAAACAAAGCUAAAAUAAGACAAGUGUUAAAUCAUAAAAAUAUAGCAAGCCCAUCAUAUCAAUGCUGAAUAAAUUAGACAGCGCUAUCUCCAUUACACACCUUAAGCAAGGUGAGUAGCUUAGGUGUGUCUUCAAGCUUCACGAGACAUUUGCCAAAGGCAAGCUCAGUCAAUUCUUGUGUUACUUGUUCUUGAAUGUGUAAGUUCAUAGCUGCUUCAAGCUUCUUAGCUUUGCUCCUUGUCACUGGUCCACUAGGGAGCACCAAUGGAUCCUUGCUUCCUUGAUUAUCAUGUGAUUGGGUUUGCUGGUUCGUAUCAGGUGGGUUUAUCAACUCUUUGGAUUCUGUAUCUACUUGUGCGUAUGGGUUUGAGGCUUGUGCCAUAGGGUUCCGCGUCAGACAGUGUCAAUUGAUGAUUUGAGAUCCAAAAGAGGGCCAAGUUAGGGUGUGUGUAAGCUUGGUUUCUAUUUUCUAUGCGUAUCCUUUUAUUCCCUUUUCUUUUUAUCGUUUUUGUGUCGUGUAACCGCCAUCUUGCUACAGUACUCUAUGCUGUUAUCAUGCAGGACCAUACAUACAGACGUACUGUUCUUCCCUCUACUAUAAGGCGGCUAUUGAAUUCCUUUUGGAGUCUACCUUAGCAUGAUCCUGAAUGUGUGGGAACUGUUGCUUAGUGGGCUUAGCUGAUCGACCGAACCGGGUCUUUUUCUGUUGGACUCAGGUCCUAUCCAGUCAGGGUCGUUGGUAUGAGCCUUAAGCCGACCUCUUGAAAAUGAAUCAAUGCUUUGGGUUGUUGCAAGGGUCAGGCCUGACCUUUCUAUCAUGGGCCUGACCGCAGCUUUAGCAUUCGAGGCCCACAGGUUAUUGGCUGGUGAUAUCUCUUAUCAAACAGCCGGUCACAUAAUCGCCAAAUAUAUUUAUCUUUAUCUUUUUAUAGUAUAAAAAGAGAAAAAUCACAAAAGUGAAAGAACGGUAUUCUUUUACACUACUCAAACUCUAAAUAAUUUAUUGCAUUCACCUCGUUUUUCGGUAUACUGACUUGACCGUCGAAAUGGCCAUCGUGAACACCCGCCACCUCACGUUUUGUUUCUCGCAGAUCUAACCAAUCACAGUUAGGGGUGAGCAUUCGGUCGGUUCGGUUCAAAACCGAACCGAAUCGAAAUAACUGAAAACCAAAUUACAGUAUUUUAUAUAAACCGAACCGAACCGAAUAAGAGGGAUAAUCGAAUCGAACCGAUCUGGUACGAUUCGGUUCGGUCGGUUCGAUCGGUUAAACCGAUUUUCAAACUUUUCAUCAUUUUUUUUUUACAUUGAUUUUCAGUGUUCUAAUUGUAUUAUUUCUUUGUCCCAAUUCACAAAUUUUUCCAUAGCUUUCUUGAACACCAAACGGUCUCAGAGUUUAUCUGUAACAGCAGUAGAUAGCAACUCGAUCGUAAAUUUCAAAGAAUUUAUGGCUCAUCAUGUUACAGAAUUGAGUUUCAUAUAAAUCGAAGAGGAAAAGUGUUCAUGAAAGAACUCCGGCAACAAUCAAUAGCAAAUCACAAAUAUUUACUUACCUUCUACAGUUUACUCAAGUUCAACUGUGAGUAGCUGGAAGCGCGACACAGAGACUCGGAGAGGAUUGAGAUCUGUGGAAUAAGCAUGACUGAGAGCAACGGCCGACGCCGAUGGUGAAUCAGUCCAGUCGAGAGGAAUUUGGAGGCACAAGCGCGAGAAUCUCGCGGCGAGAUGCGUGCGUGACUCUUCUCAGAAAGAGACCGGAGGCUGGACGGUGGAUGGUGGAAGCGCGGCUGAAAGUGGAUGGAGCUGAGAGGUGGAAGCGCCGCUCAGAGGCGAGGCAUUUUGAGGUGAGGGCGUUAGCGUUAGGGUUGAGCACAGAGAUGAGAGAUGGAGGAGCACAGAGAUGAGAGAUGGAGGAGCACAGAGAUGAGAGAUGGAGGAGCACAGAGAUGAGAGAUGGAGGAGCACUGGGUCUGGCGGCAGAUACGGAGAGAGAAAUUUGUUUUAGAUUUAGGGCAGGGAAGGGAAAGGAAGGUAAUUAGGGAAUUAGGAAACUAUUGAAACGACGUAGUAUAGGUGAUUUCGGUUCGGUUCGGUCUAAUCGAAAUUUUUACGUCUAAAAUCGAACUGAACCGAAAUCACCGAUUUUUUAAAAAUUUCAAACCGAACCGAACCGAAAAAAAAUAAAACCGAACCAAAUUUUUAAAAUUAAUCGGUUCGGUCGGUUAUUUCGGUUUAAACCGAAUACUGCUCACCCCUAAUCACAGUACAGCUCUAUUUUUCGACUACAUCAAUUAUUAUUUUAAAGGUAAUAAAUUAUAUAAUUUUUAUGUGUUUGUUGACUUUAUUUUCCAUUUAUCUAGCUCUAGUUCUUCGUCACACCAAGAGAAGCUUAAUGAAAUUCGUUUGUCUUUUUUGUUUUCUUUAACAAUAAAUUUGUAUAAAUAUUAUUAAAGUAUAUGAUUAAUAAUAUAUAUGUUGCAUGAAAUUAUAUAUUAUUUCUAUUAAAAGAAAGCUUUUUUUCUAUUAUGUUGAAAUUUUAAGUUAACUAUAUUAUAAUGUUUUAUUCAUAUGUUUUUAAAUUUAAUUGCCUGUAAGGAUUUUAAAUUUGAUUGCCUGUGACAAAUGCGAACCAAAAUAUUUAUCAGAAUAUGGAAAAGUUCCAUUUUCUUGGGAUGGAAACUACUAUCUGCUCAGGAACUUGAAUUCACAAAACAAAAUAAAUAACAAAUAUUGAUACACCUUCAAGAAGUCUAACACUGUAUAUGGGUCAAGCUCUACAAAACUUAGAAGAAUAAGCAAUGCCUGAUAUCCUUACACCAAAUACGAGGACAUGAGAUUCCAGCUAAUUUUCAUGUGGCUUGGCAUUGAUGCCACAAACCGAAGAAGAUCCGGCUUUGCAUCAAGCGCUUGGCAGAGGUUUUCAGACUUUUGAUUUAAGACAUCAACAAACUUUGCAAUGUUUGGAAUUACAAGCUCCCUACAAUGGAGGUGUAACAAGGGGACCUUUGACAGCACACUUCCCUUCUGAACAUCUAGACCUUCUGGCCUACGCAACUUGUAUGGUUUCCCAGAAAAUGGCUCAAUAUCAACUUGAGGCAUUUGCUUCCAUCUCUGGUGCACAAACCAACCAUACUUGUAGUCACCAACAAUGGGAGUCCCAAGAGCUUCAGCACAGUGCACCCGCAGCUGUAUAAAAUAGUGAAUAAACAAAACCAACAUCAAUCGAUAUCCAUAUACAUGUCAUAGAGCUUUUCUAAGGCAAUCCAACAUCAACCCCCUCACAGGUCACAACAACACCCCUCACCCAAAAGAAAAAAUAAAUUAAAAAUUGAAAUAGCUGUUCAUAUACCUGAUGCUUUCGCCUAGUGAGUGGACGUAGCUCAAUCCACGAGCAUCCAUUUAUUUUAGGACCUAACACUCGGUAUUCAGUUAAAGCCUCAAAACCCGAACACUGGGCCAGGACAACUCUGUCUGUCUUCCCAUCAUUAAGAAGCACCUAUAAUAACCAAUAAUUGAAACGAAUCAUUUGCCCUUGAAGAUGUCGCAAGAGAUGCCAAUUAUCAUUUCCAAACACACAUACACAGAGAAAGAACCUUUGUAAGUGGAGCCCGAAUUAAGCCUUCCUUUUCCUUGGGAGUGCCUAUAACCAAUGCCCAAUACCUUUGAUACAUUGCUUCACGUGCAUCAUUCCAAGCCUAAAAUUUCACAAAAUGUAUUAUUGUUAUAAACCAACAGGCGGAAGCAUUAAACCAUCUCCUUAAUGAUUUUAUGAGACACAUACCCUUGUUUACAUAACAAGACCAAUAACUGAAGUACCUUACAACAGGAAAUUGGAUUAUUUUGGUCAUUAAAUAACCACUGAAGAAGACCAAUGCUUUCUCUUGUUCUCCCCAAUAAAAUGAGACCACUGCUCUCUGCGUCAAGGCGCUGCACCUGGUAAAAUUAUUUUCAUGAUAAAAACUAUAUCCUCAUUUUGGAGAUUUCCAAGAGCAGGAAAACGCUAAUUCAAAAAAUAAAUAAAUAGAACAGAUAGAGAAGUCCAAAAUAGCAAGUUUCCCGUUUGGCUAACAACUACUUUGAAAAUGAACCUGACCUCUCUAUGAUUAUGAAUCACCUGAUGAGGAGAGCAACUUACCAAUUUAGGGCCUUCAUCAUUAUCAUAAGACAAAGCUGCAGCCGCUAAUGCAUCCAUGCUAUUGUGAACUGGCAGAUUCCCCUAAUAAAUUUAUGACACAAAAUAAAUCAUCAGGCAACAAAUUUGUAAAGACAAAGAUCAAUAAGAAAAAAAUCAUGCGGCUAAAUAUUCUAACCUUGACGGGUAGUUUUGGGGGUUUGUUUAGGACAAUUAGAGCUGAAUCCUACAAUUUGAAAAACAAAUUGUUAAAAUUUAUUAACAUAAGGCAAAAAAGACUUCAAGCGCAUACUUUGGCACAUGACAUCAACCAAGCUAAAACUCGCAUAUGCACAAUAUGCAGAAAUCUCAGUUUAGAAAAGGGAAAUGUAAGUCAAAUUCAACGUGCCUUGUACUGGACAAGCCUUUGUAAAUAUUCAAUCUCAUCAGCAUUUGGACAUAAAGUUCCACUUGGUAUAACACCAAACCUCUUUGAAAUGCUAGUCUCGGCUACUGAUACAGGUAUAUGAAUUCUUGCUCCUUCCUCCAUAACAUCACUAGGUUUAAUCUGUAUGCGAGCUAUGUUAUAAAAUAUUAAACCCACAUAGAAUCACACAAGUUUACAGAGAAAUGAAAAGCAAAAAGAGAGAGAGAAGCAUAGUAGACUAUAAAUACAAGCAUACCUGAUACGGAUCCAAUAGGGCAAAUUUCUAACAAUGGUGUGGAGCAAACUUAUGUCAUUCAAAUGGAUCUAAAAGGAGUUCAAAAUCAUAUUCAUAUGAUCCAUAUAUAUUUGGGGCGUGCUUCAACUCAUAUGGAGCAGAUUUGGUACAACAUUUGCAAUCAUAGGCUUAGGGAGCCUAAUCAAACCUAUGGGCUAAAACUAAACAAAGGGAAGCCUAAAGUGAAGAUCAAGAAAAGCUUUUGUGAAUAUUCAGCUUUAUUAUGAUGGGCUUGCUAUGUUGUAUUAUUUAAAUACUUGUUUUAUUUUAGUUUUAUUUGGGUUUGUAUUCUGGCCAUAUUUUAUCUUUUAAGUUUUAAAGUGUCCGGCCAUGUUUUGGGUUUAUGUGUUAAUACUUAUGUGUUAUUUUAGUGUGUGAUUGGGCUUGGGCCUUAUGUGUUUAAAUUAGGCCUAAGAAGAGUGUCUUAGGGUUUUAUUUGUUUUCUCCUUACUAUAUAAGGAUAAGAAACACUUGUAAGAGGCAACUUUUAAUUAAAAUUAUCAGAAUUUUUUUCAUGCCUUUGGCGUGUAUUGCUUUGAGUGAGAGUGAGGAUUUGCUUUCAUCAAUUGCACCAAGAAUCUUGGCUAACUUAUCAACCAUUCGUUGUGGCGUUUGUCAGAUUCUCAUCUAAAUCCUUCGAUCAUUGGUGUUUCAACUUCUCUAAGUGUGGGGUGCCAUAGGAGGUAGGUUUAUCAAAUCUUUGAAUUCCUUAUCUACUGUGCGUGUGGGUUUGAGGCUUGUGCCAUAGGGUUCCGCGUCAGUUGGUAUCAGAGCCAAAGUGAGGUAAAUUCUUAUUUAUCUUAGGAUCUAGGGUUUUUUGAGUUUUCCUUUUCUUCCUUAUUGUUUUCAGUGAAAGCUUGUGUGUACAUGGCUGCACCUUCUUGAUUAUUAAUCAUCACGAAAAAAAAAUCGAAAUCCUUAAAAAAAAAGUCAAAAAUCAAAAAUCGUCUUUGCCUUAUUUAUCUUGAUCUGACCAAAAUUGUGAUAUGCUUCCUUUUUCGUCCAUAUUGCCUUACCUUAUCUCAAUUGAUUGCUGUUAUUUAUGGGAAUCAAUUUUAAAUUUUAAAUUUUGAAUUGGGUUGAAUCCAGAUUAGGAGAUAAAAAAAAUUUUGCCUAUUUCCUAACGUGCACAUUUAAGGCAAUUGCAUCUAAAUUGAUUUGAUGUCAAAUCCUUCUUUUAACACCAGAAUUUUCGUCCAUGUUUCUGAACCGAGUGAAAUUUAAAAUUUUUUUUUCUAAUUCUAUUUGUAGGGUCUUGAUACUUGCCUUUUUGAGUAAAUUUAAAUAGAUCCAUAUUUAAUUUACUUUGAAGUGAAUUAAAUUCAAUCUUUUGUCCAGAUUCGUUUUUAUUUGAAUUCUAAGUUUUCUUUUUGGUUUAAACUUGCUUUUACUUCCUUGACAUUGCUAGAGUAUUGUUUGUUUGUGUCUAUAAUCUAG